UCCUGACUGACCGAUAGUGAACCAGUACCGUGAGGGAAAGGCGAAAAGAACCCCGGCGAGGGGAGUGAAAAAGAACCUGAAACCGUGUACGUACAAGCAGUGGGAGCACGCUUAGGCGUGUGACUGCGUACCUUUUGUAUAAUGGGUCAGCGACUUAUAUUCUGUAGCAAGGUUAACCGAAUAGGGGAGCCGAAGGGAAACCGAGUCUUAACUGGGCGUUAAGUUGCAGGGUAUAGACCCGAAACCCGGUGAUCUAGCCAUGGGCAGGUUGAAGGUUGGGUAACACUAACUGGAGGACCGAACCGACUAAUGUUGAAAAAUUAGCGGAUGACUUGUGGCUGGGGGUGAAAGGCCAAUCAAACCGGGAGAUAGCUGGUUCUCCCCGAAAGCUAUUUAGGUAGCGCCUCGUGAAUUCAUCUCCGGGGGUAGAGCAC
rnacentral:rRNA from 1 species